GGUCGACGGUAGCCGCCUGAGAGGUGACCGGCCACACUGGGACUGAGACACGGCCCAGACUCCUACGGGAGGCAGCAGUGGGGAAUAUUGCACAAUGGCGGAAGCCUGAUGCAGCAACGCCGCGUGAGGGACGACGGCCUUCGGGUUGUAAACCUCUUUUAGCAAGGAAGAAGCGAAAGUGACGGUACUUGCAGAAAAAGCGCCGGCUAACUACGUGCCAGCAGCCGCGGUAAUACGUAGGGCGCAAGCGUUAUCCGGAAUUAUUGGGCGUAAAGAGCUCGUAGGCGGUUUGUCGCGUCUGCUGUGAAAACCCGAGGCUCAACCUCGGGCCUGCAGUGGGUACGGGCAGACUAGAGUGCGGUAGGGGAGAUUGGAAUUCCUGGUGUAGCGGUGGAAUGCGCAGAUAUCAGGAGGAACACCGAUGGCGAAGGCAGAUCUCUGGGCCGUAACUGACGCUGAGGAGCGAAAGGGUGGGGAGCAAACAGGCUUAGAUACCCUGGUAGUCCACCCCGUAAACGUUGGGAACUAGUUGUGGGGUCCAUUCCACGGAUUCCGUGACGCAGCUAACGCAUUAAGUUCCCCGCCUGGGGAGUACGGCCGCAAGGCUAAAACUCAAAGGAAUUGACGGGGACCCGCACAAGCGGCGGAGCAUGCGGAUUAAUUCGAUGCAACGCGAAGAACCUUACCAAGGCUUGACAUACACGAGAACACCCUGGAAACAGGGGACUCUUUGGACACUCGUGAACAGGUGGUGCAUGGUUGUCGUCAGCUCGUGUCGUGAGAUGUUGGGUUAAGUCCCGCAACGAGCGCAACCCUCGUUCUAUGUUGCCAGCACGUAAUGGUGGGAACUCAUGGGAUACUGCCGGGGUCAACUCGGAGGAAGGUGGGGAUGACGUCAAAUCAUCAUGCCCCUUAUGUCUUGGGCUUCACGCAUGCUACAAUGGCCGGUACAAAGGGCUGCAAUACCGUGAGGUGGAGCGAAUCCCAAAAAGCCGGUCCCAGUUCGGAUUGAGGUCUGCAACUCGACCUCAUGAAGUCGGAGUCGCUAGUAAUCGCAGAUCAGCAACGCUGCGGUGAAUACGUUCCCGGGUCUUGUACACACCGCCCGUCAAGUCAUGAAAGUCGGUAACACCUGAAGCCGGUGGCCCAACCCUUGUGGAGGGAGCCGUCGAAG
rnacentral:rRNA from 1 species